GAAAUUCCAAUCGAACCCGGAGAUAGCUGGUUCUCCCCGAAAUAGCUUUAGGGCUAGCGUCGCAGCGAGAGAGCCGUGAAGGUAGAGCACUGAAUAUGCGAUGGCCGCAUCCCGCGGUACUGAGCAUAAUCAAACUCCGAAUGUCACGGUGUCAUCUGCGGCAGUCAGACGGCGAGUGAUAAGGUCCGUCGUCAAGAGGGAAACAGCCCAGACCAUCAGCUAAGGUCCCAAAGUGCAUGCUAAGUGGAAAAGGAAGUGGAGACGUGCAGACAACUAGGAGGUUGGCUCAGAAGCAGCCAUCCUUCAAAGAGUGCGUAACAGCUCACUAGUCGAAUGACUCUGCGCCGAUAAUUUACCGGGGCUAAGCAUGACACCGAAGCUAUGGACAGGAAUGUGGUAGGGGAGCAUUGCAUGCAGCGGAGAAGCAUGACCGAAAGGGCAUGUGGAGCGCAUGGAAGAGAGAAUGCCGGCGUGAGUAGCGGCACGUGGGUGAGAAUCCCACGCACCGAUGGCCCAAGGUCUCCAGAGGAAGGCUCGUCCUCUCUGGGAUAGUCGGGACCUAAGGCGAGGCCGAAAGGCGUAGCCGAUGGACGACGGGUGGAUAUUCCCGUACCCGAUGUGUGGCGAUGGAGUGACGGAGAAGGCUCAGGCAACCAGCUGCUGGAAUAGCUGGGGCAAGCGAGAUACCUGCGCACCAGGGAAAUCCGGUGCGCAUAAGGGGAAGGCGCGAAGCAUACGGAAAGCUUCGGCAAGUACGGAAAAGCUGAGAGCAGGCUUCCAGGAAAAGCUUCUAGCACAACACACAUCGGCCCGUACCGAAAAUGGACACACAUGGGCAAGGAGAGAAUCCUGAGGUGAGCGAGAGAACUAUAGCUAAGGAACUCUGCAAAAUGACCCCGUAACCUAGGGAGAAGGGGUGCUCCAGAAAUGGAGCCGCAGUAAAACGGCCCAAGCGACUGUUUACCAAAAACACAGCUCUCUGCGAAGGCGCAAGCCGAAGUAUAGGGGGUGACGCCUGCCCGGUGCUGGAAGGUCAAGGGGAGCUGUCAGCGCAAGCGAAGCAGCGAGCCGAAGCCCCAGUAAACGGCGGCCGUAACUAUAACGGUCCUAAGGUAGCGAAAUUCCUUGUCGGGCAAGUUCCGACCCGCACGAAAGGCGUAACGAUUUGGGCGCUGUCUCAGCUGUAGACUCGGUGAAGUCUUAGUACCUGUGAAGAUGCAGGUUGCCCGCGACUAGACGGAAAGACCCCAUGGAGCUUCACUGCAGGUUGACAUUGGGCUUGGAUGCAUGAUGUACAGGAUAGGUGGGAGGCUGUGAGCCGUGCGCGCCAGCGUACGGGGAGCCGCUGUUGGGAUACCACCCUUCAUGCAUCUAGGUCCUAACCGGAGGCAACGGGCCACGGGACAGUGUCAGUCGGGCAGUUUGACUGGGGCGGUCGCCUCCCAAAGAGUAACGGAGGCGCCCAAAGAUACCCUCAGCAUGGAUGGAAACCAUGCAUAGAGUGCAAAGGCAUAAGGGUGUCUGACUGCGAGACAUACAGGUCGAGCAGGGACGAAAGUCGGGCUUAGUGAUCCGGCGGAUCCGAAUGGAAGGGCCGUCGCUCAACGGAUAAAAGCUACCCUGGGGAUAACAGGCU
rnacentral:rRNA from 1 species